GUUAUGGAAUUCUGUACUGAAUUAUAAUCUGGCUCUUUCAGCUUUUUCUUAUUCUCCAGUGUAUUAGCAUAAGAAUGGUAAGAUGCAUUUAUGUGUUUUUCAUGGCAGAGGUCAGCAUUUGUAAGACACUACCAAGAAGACAUACAUAAUAUGAAGUAAUACUUCACCUAUACCAAGAAACAAGCAACAAUACCUUUAUCUGUUAAAAGGCUGAUGCUUGUAUUUGGAACACUUGGUUGCAGCUGAAGCAAUACUAGGUCUAGACUAAUCUAAACUAAUGGGCUCACAAUAGAUAGAUAAAAUGAUAAACCCAAUGAUAUCCCUGCUGUUUAACUUGUAUUGCAAUGCAUUUUUUAAGUAACAUAAUAUUUUGCAAAUGGUGAGAAGAAGGGGAAACAAACUAUCAAGGUGACUCUGGGUAUCUUCCUGCAGAUUCUCUGCACUGAGGAACACAAAGGGGAAAAUACUGACCCUACCUGAAAAAAAAAAAGCAAAGGUAAUUUCAUCAUUAAUGCUGGAGAACUGCAACUUUUCUUCUGUCUGUCCAUCACUGAUUGCACUUUUGAAAACAAAGCUGUAUUUUGGAGGCAUUUAGUGAACUGAACUUCCUGCUGACACAGAGCUUGGAGACCAGGUUAUUUCAAAGUCUUUUGAAAAUCUGACCCUCAGCACUGGAACAUAAGCAGACAGUCAGAAUUAAACCUUGAGUGUGGCCCAAGAUUAUAGUGCACAGCUUCCAAAUAAUGACAGAGAGCACAAUUUUGAAUGAAGAUAAGAACCUUAUGUAACAUUUCUGAAGUGCACACACACUGAUGUACAAUAAUUUUAAUCAAAAGAUGUGGAAUAAAAGCAGUGGUGAACAAGCUAGUGACUGCCCUCUGUGACAACAGAACCUGUGGAUUGUUUUGCCAGAACAAACAUGGCAAUGCGCGUUGUAAUAACAAACCACAAUGACAUCGUCUAUCCAAAGUCAAAAUCCCCUGGAAGUGCUGGAUGCCCAUAUUUCAUAGGCAGACAACCUAGAGCCUGUUUUCAAUAUCCUGUGCUUUGCAGUGCAGCUGCUUAAUGUCUGAUCAUUCCACUUGCAUCUCAUUUUAUCUCAGGCUCUACUCUGCUUUCAUUUUGUUCUACACAUUGGAAAGAACUGCCAUUAGAGUCAACAUGUACACAGAUAUGUAAAUGAGAAGCAAGUUCAAAACAUUUCUCUCUGAGCUAUUCUACGUAUCAGGAAAACAGAUCACUGGCAUCCACUGUAUGAUGUCUCUUCAACUACACAGACAAAAGUAGAUGCAGCUAAAGCAAGAAGGAAGUCUUACCAAGCUAAAAGUCACUGUGGUGUGCCAUGACGUGUUCAUUUUUCAGAUAGCUGGAAAACAUCUACUGGAGUGGCCAUGGACUCUUAUUUUGAUCUUCAGAUUUUAAAGCCAAAAAGAAGCAAUUUUUAGAACCACUAUUUGUUUUUACAGAACAAUGAUCAGCAGUGUUGAAGAGUGCAGUGGUGCAGUGCCAUACAAAGCUUUAUCUCAAUAAAUAGAUUCAACUGCCUUGCCUUUCCCUGUUAAAUUUCAGAGAUUUGAGAAAAAUCACCAGACUUCCACCAGUAGAAAUCAAGUGGAAGCUUCUUCACUGACAGGCAAGGAAGAGAGGAUUUGAGAAAGAGUUGCAGAAUCACAGAAUAUCCUAAGGUGGAAGGGACCCAUAAGGAUCACUGAGUUAAAACACAAUCAGGACCCGUCACAACAGGGCCAACUCAGUAGCUUAGCAUGAAAAAUCACCAAAAAUAUUCCACACUGAGAGCUGAUAAAAGACACAAAGCACUAAAAAAAAUCAGAUGUAAGAAGUGCCAAAGUGACUUCUGCUUGCAGGCUUUGAAGAUAACUGGCCAUCAGUCAGAAGAUGACUAAAGAUGACACACUUGCAUCAGGUAAUGCAACAAAACUUCCUCAGUGCUCUUUCCCUCUUCCUCCAGCAGUGCUGGGUGAUGUGGAGCUGCUGCCUCUGUGGCUGCUCUCCAUGCUCAUCAUGUGCAAGCAGUUAAACACUUCCCAGCGUGGAGGAGCAGUGCAGUCUCCUU